UGAUGAUUCACAGCAUUGAAAAUGUACUAAAUGCCAGGGAUUGUUCACUUAAAAAUGGUUAAUUCCACUGCACAGCUGGCCCUGACCCCACUUCUGCACACCCCCGAGAACAACUUCAGCCCCAGGUGCGCUGGCACCUUCCCACCCGCCUGGUGCCAUGCAAGGCUGGCAGACAUUAUCUUGCUUACUUCCACCCUUGCUUCCCAGAGGCGGUCAGGGUCACACGUGCAGCCCCCGCCCCUCAGCACCCCUACCAGUGCAGGGCUCUCUGCAGGCUGGGCACCUAACUCUGCAAAGGACAACCCCUUAGAGACACCAUCGUGGUGCCCACUGAUGCCCAGCACCAGGGACUGAAAUAUGGGCUCUCAGGUACCCCAGUCCGGGGACCGCGGGGCCCCGUGGGCGUGAAUCCUGCGGAGGCUCUGGGGAAUGACUGCAGUCCUGGGGCUGCCCACUGUCUAACGGUGUCCCUGCCUGGGUCCAAGCCUCCCUCGGUGUCCACCACAGCCCAGCCUGGCCUGCAAGUGGCAGAUGUCUCUUUCUGCCUUCCUCCCCACUAAGGCAAGGUGGGAAGGCCCAGCUGGUCCUGGCUGGAAGGCAGCCGGUUCUAAUGUGGGGAGGUGAGUCGGGGUGCAGUGUUCGGGGUGCGUGCAUGGGCUGGGGUCUUGCAGGCUUGCUGCACGCCCUCAAAUGCGAGAUGGCCCGUGUGCGGUGUCUCUGGGAGGGUAUAGCCGAGGAGGGUGCUGGAAUGAUCUGUGCCUGGGCCCAGCAGCGGCUCUAGGACACGCUGAGAGUCCCAGCAGAUUCCAAAAGGAAUUCCUGGUCGAAUUUAAAACAAACAAACAAACAAUGUGGGAAGGAGAGAAAGAAUGUCAGGAAUGUGGGCGGUCGGCCUCCCCAGGCCCCCAGGCCCCGCGAAGGCGUGGGAGGCCACCCCAGGGCCCACCCCAGGCUUCCUCCCGCCUUUCUGAGCUUGCCUGGGGAGGGAACAAAGAACAUUAUUAACAAGGUGUGCUUGGAAAAGCAAUCGAAACCACCCCAAACCCUGCCUCCUAAAGAAAUGUCAAAGACGGUGCACGGGGACCCAACAGAAUUUUCUUUUCUCAAUUAGGGUCAAGAUCUCAGCUUCCUUGACAGGGGAAUUUGGGGGUCUAGGGGGGAGUCCCUCACUAUUUGAAUUCUUCAAGGUGUAAAUGACCUCCGUGGAAGGUUCCAGAGACAAAAUUUUCCCAGGGAGAAAUAACUGACUUUUGCAGGCCGUUGAAGGGACACGGGGGGUUUCAAACUGGUUUCUAAAGCUCCGGCCAGCUCUGUGGCGCAGUCUGCGGCGGACUGCCCGGAACCCCGUACAAUAUCUGGAAGUGACACAAGAACAUUCCGGAGCCCAGAGGUCCCACUUUGGAGAUAAAUACAAGCCGUCUUGGUACGUUUGUUUUUAUCAUUGGGACCUAUUUUAUCUUCCGCAAAAAGGAAGUCACCAAGAAAACAAGAGGCGAUACAGGCCAGUAGGGCCAGGGCCUGCCCACCUGAUUCUAGAAUUUUCCACCAGGAGAACGGCUGGGAAUUUAAACUCUGUUAGCUGGACAGAGAAGCUCAGGGCAAGGGAAGACAAAAAUGUGGGUUUCUUUAAAGGACAAGCAUGUUGGAUUUUAGGGAAAGAAAGAACCCCUCAUUCUGCUGUGUCUCUCUGCUGGUCCGCCAGGCUCGGCUGCUCUGACAGGAAGGCCCCUGGGCAUCCGGCGGGUCUGAGGGAGGGUCUGAGGGGCCUGAGGGCCCGGCUGCGGAGGCCCCCUAUGCGCCCGGACUGUGGGGUUGCUCCCUGAGCGCGGACCGCAUGUGAGCUUUCCCAGAGCCUGGGUUUGGGGCGACCACUGCAGGUCCUGAGCAGCUUUGAGGAGGCCAGUCGGGCCGAGUGGAAGGGGCCCAGGGCAGGGUGCCGGCGGGGCCAGGGGCUGGCACGUGUGGAGACGACCUCCUGGGGACAUUCUGGAGAUGAUGGUGGAGAUGCAUACACUUUGGGAAUGUGCUUUAUGCUGCAGGGCUGUGAGCUAGGAAAUGGUUAAAAGGGUAGAUUUUGUUAUGUAUACUUUUACUGCAAUUUGAAAAAAUGUUUUGGAAGAAAUCUGAAUACCCUCUGGAAAAGUUCAGGGGGUAAAACGAGGGAAAGAACAGAGAACCUUCUCCACGGGAACGUGGGUAUCGCUUUGGUGACCAGCAUUCAGUUACAAAGUUUAUAUUUGAAAACCCUGUUUGGUGUAGCCACUCCCAAAACGACCAGUCAUUCCCUCUUGGGUGCCUUGGAAGAAUUGUUUCCUCCUCUGCUGCCAACUCUAUUUUUAAAUGUUUUCUACAAAGCCUGGGAGACCCUGAGCUGGUUUUUUAAAUGCAUCCAGGAAAAGGGAGAUGAAGGCUGGAAGACCAUUUAAAACCAAAGAAUGCAGGAUGUGUAAGCGAGGUGGGAGGGUGACGUCACCUUAUAAGGAGCAGAAAGGGCUGGACCGUCCCCAUAGACUGGGGCUGCACGUAGGCCGCAGACAAACUCUCGGAAAUAGCAGGGAUCUGGGGGGAUCGACAGGAUCGGAGAGACUAGCAGGAUCUGGGGGAAUCAGCAGGAACGGAGCUCUGCACAUUUACUUGGGAAGAGCUGGCCCCACAGGGACUCUAUUUUCACUCUUUGGAGGAAUGGCCACUGUUUUCCGUGGCGACUGGAUCACCUUCCUUACCACCAGCUGUGGGCGGGGUCCCACUGUCUCCACGUCCUCACCCGCACUGGGGAUAGUGUGGGAACCUGGCUCCUCCUGGUGUGCGGUGGUGUCUUGCUGUGGGUCUGAUGAGCAUUUCCCGUCUGGCUUGUGGUGCUGAGUGUCUUUUCAUGCACAGGUGGGUCAUCUGUCCGUCUACAGAAAUAUCUUACCUGUUCAGAACUGCAAAGGCACUUGGAGCCAGCAGCCUCAGCCUCUCUCUUCCCUCCCACUCUCCUGGUCCCCCAGCAGCCAUGAGCAGAAGCCCCCAGCCGUGCAGGGCCAGCCUCUGGCCAAACCCACCUUGGAUGAGAGGCCCCCAUCCUGGGCCCAUCAAAACGAGAGGGAAGUGGUGAUGGGGGCUCCACUGCAGGAAGGGAAAGCCGCAGUGCCAGCCACCUGCUGGCCUGUUCACCCCUAGGUGGGCUGUCUGGAGCCUCGUGCAGGCGGGCGGCCUGGAGGCCACCCGAGCCGGCCGCCCGCACCCUGAAAUUCAGGCUCGAUUUCCCGCUAUAAAGUAUUGAUGUGGGUGAUGUCACCACUGUGAGCUUCUGUCUUGGGUUUCCUGUGUUACCUGUUACGAACCCCGAGGGCUGCUCUGCUCUCUGUCCUGGAGCCAAGGGGUCUGCCAGGGGGGCACAUUCCCACCUUGGCACCCGGAUCCUUCCAGAAUCAGCCUCUUACCAGGAUCCCACGUCCCCCUGGAGUGGAGGCCCAAUGUUCCUGGGCACAUAUGCAGUGGACCCUGGGGGCUUUGAGCUUAACUCGGCUGACAUUUGGGUGGGUCGUUCUCAGGAAGGGGGUGUCCCGGGCACUGCAGGGGGUGGGCAGCCUCCCUGGGCCCCACCCACUGGAUGCUAGGGGCUCCCCCAGCCACAGAUGUCCCCCAGAUGCUACCCGGAGUUCUGUGCAGGGGGGGCAGGAAGAAUUGCCCCAGUUGAGAAUGGCUGCCUUGCUGUGGUGAGCGCUGGGCUUCGAUUCAGUUCAACCUUUUUAGAGAAAUCCUUACUUACUCCUGGGAAUAAGAAAGACAAAACCAAGGUCUGCGGGCUGCAGGGCAGCGGUGGAGCAGGCUGGGCCCGGGGUCUCCCCACCUCGGUGAGCGUGGUGCUGGGUCUGCGGCACCCUCUGUGCCCCAGCGUGGCCAGGACCCUCUGGGCGGUCUGGGGUCCCUUGCAGCCCCGUGACCCCGUGGACAGGCGGACAGCCGGCGGGCAGAUGGCUGCGGGUCACUUACAGCCCGGCUCACAUUCCCUUUCCAUACUGAGGCAGCUUUCUUUUCAUAAAUUUUGCAAGGCCGUGGAAACAAGCCUUCUCACCCCACCACCGCAAUCCACUGGGCGGUCAACGCCGGGGCUCCGGCUCCAUCCGCCAGGCCCUCCUGGGUCCUUGAAGGCAGAAUGCAUUUCCCGUGGCGGCCUUCACCAAGAAUCACGCACAGGGUGGCUGAGAGCAGAGCAUAUUCAUUCCCUCACCACUUGGGAGACCAGGCCCGGACGGGACACGGGCAGGCUGGUCCCGUCUCAGGGGAAGGGUCUCUCUGGUGCUGCCAGGCCUGUGGCCGCCUCUGUCCAGUCUCUGCCCCGUCCUCAUCAUGUGGCCUAUCCCCGCGUCUGUGUCCACAUUUCCCUCUUCUCAGAAGGACACAUUGUGUUAGGGCCACCUGAUCUGGUGUGACCCUGUCCUCAUCACAUCCACAAAGACCCCGUUCCCAGGUGAGUCCGCUCAUGGGUGUGGGGCUCAGGAUGUGGACACACUUUUUGGGGACUGAGUUCAGCCCGCAGCAGGGCGUUUGUGGUUUUCCCCGCAACGUUGUGGCCGCCUCCCCAGUGCACCCUCCAUGGUGGCCUCCCCCACAUCCAGCCCCUUCCUGCCUUUCUCUGCCUUUGGCCGUUUCCCGCAGGCCGACCAGUGGCUCCUCUCCUCAGCCACAUGCUUAUCAGCCGCCUUCUCUGUGGCCCAGCCUCCUGCUCAGCCCAGCGCCUGGCAGGAGCCCCCAGAGUGACCUCGGACAGUGUAGGCCCACGGCCUGCAUCUCUGUCCCCAGCCUCUUGAUAAGCGCUGUGCAAAACCCAAGGCCCCUGGGUCUCCGAAGGUCAGGCAUGGAGCUACCACGUGACCUAGCACCUCUGCUCCUGGGCAUCUGUGUGGACCGAUCAUGUCACCACCCGGCUCUGAAAUAGUGACCCCAGGAAACUCGGUCUGUUCAAGAGCAACGGAAACACAUGUCCACAGAAACCCCGUGCACGCCUGUCCCCAGCAGCCACAAGGUGGGUGCACGUCAGGUGCCCAUCAACAGGGGUGUGCACACACACGUGUCCAUCCACACACACAUACACGGAGCAUCACGCAGCCAUGAAAAGGAGGCCCUGCUACACACCACAAGUAGACGGGCCCUGAACACGGUGCUCAGACACACAAGGCCACACUGUGUGACCCCAUUCCUGUGACACGUCCACAACAGGUGGAUCCACAAACAGAACAUGGGCUCAUGGUGCUGGGGGAGCUGGGGUGACUGCUAAGGGAGAGGGGCUGCUUUUCGGGGUGAUGGGAUGUCCUCAAAUUGAUUUUGGUGAGAGUUGCACAACUUUUGACUAUAUGAAAAACCAUUGAACUGUCACUACAAGUUGGUGAAUUGCAUGGUAUGUGAAUUACAUCUCACUAAAGCUGUUACCCCAGAGAUUUUCCUUCGGUGGCUGUCUUAAGCAUUUCAGACACUUGCACACACAGAGCUGAGCCCACCACCCAGACAAGAAAUCAAGUAUCAGCAGCCAGGCAUCACCACCCCCCACCCCCCAAGAAGAGUCUCCUUAAGGCAGGAUCUCCAAUCCCUACUUUCCCCACAAGCGCAUCUAUCCAUCUAUUCCCAGCUCUGGUUGCAUUGUCCAGACCCGUCCUGUGUGCGACCUCCUGCUGCUGUGUCCCCUGCCACGCCAGGUGUGGCGGUGUCUCUGUGCACCUGCCCCCAGCCCAGUCCAGAUGCCUGUUACCGUACUGGGGCAUCUAUAGGGUCCCGUGCUCCAGGGUGUGCUGCUGGGACGGAGGGUGGCCCAGUGCCAUGAAGACCGUCUACUGCCUGAGGCUGCUGUUCCCUCUGCCCUCAAUGCUGUUCCCGCCAGUGGGACCACAUCGGUGCACCUCCACCCCAGCGGGGGUUCAAGCAAAGAAUCAUUUGAUAAGAGGAGGUGGGCCUCUAGGUCCUGCGAGGAAGUCACGCCCAGAAGCAGCCUUCCCUCCAGCUUCUGUCUGAUGGAACAUUUCUGGAAGUGACCGUGGAAAUGCUCUCUGUGCCUUGUGAUGGGGCGUCUGUGUGUGGCUGCUGAGCACUUGAAACCCAGCUGGUGUGCGGGGGACGCUGCACGUUUAUCCUUUGUGAUUAGUGUGGAUUUAAAUAGCCACAUUCUAUUCUAAGGGGGGCCAGAUUCUCUUCACUGAUUCCAUAUUGGGAAUUCACCUCCUUGCUGAAGUCCUUUGGUAUUUUUUUGUAAAAGUCCUUGUAAAAGUGUAACAUUUAUUAUAAACCAACACUCCUGAGACGUUUUUGUGGCCGGCUGUUCAUGGGCACAUUGAGCAGCAAGAGCUCUGAGUGAGGACGUGCCCAGGUGCCCAGCUGAGGUGGAACCGGCGAGGGCUGCCGUCUCUUCUCUUCUGAGACUGGGAACAAGGAUCCCUUUUUUAAGGCUUAGUUAGAGCAACGUGUUUCACUCUUUGGGGCUUUUUCUGAGUGAUUUUGCUGUUUAAACUGGCCCCCAACCAUUCCUAAGCACAAGAAGUGUGAUGUGAAAUUAGAGA